rnacentral:rRNA from 1 species
GAUUGGGGACUACGAACAAUGGUUUAAAAACCCAAGAAUUUGGCGGUGUCUUAUUUAAUCAGGGGAAUCUGUCUCGUAAUCGACAGCCCACGAAAAAUCGACCUUUAUUCUUGAAUAAUUUCAGUUUGUGUACUGCCGUCCAAUGGGCCCCUGAAGUUCCUCAUAAUAAAUUUUUAUAAAUUUUACGUCAGGUCAAAGUGCAGCUAAUGAAAAGGAGAAGAUGGAUUACAAUUUAUAACAUAACUAAUCUUACAUUAUAGUAAUGUAAUAAAGAGAACUUGAUAGUAAUUUUACCGAAAAGAUAAAAUGAAACUAGAACCUAAGACAAGCACACAUCGCCCGUCGCUCUUAUUA